rnacentral:misc_RNA from 1 species
CAGAGUUGCAAAACUCCACUAAACCAUCGCUGAAUCUUACCACUAACAGGUUGCCUCGGCGGCUGGCGUCCGGAGGGCCCUCACGGGGCCCCGGAGCCUCGGUCUCCCUCGCGGAGCUGCCCGCCGGAGUGCCUACUCAAACUCUUGAUUUUACACAGGCCUCUCUGAGUACUUUAAAUAAGUCA